ACUUGUAGCACAUGUAUCACUUGUUAACAAAAUUGUACAAAACUACGAAGCCCAAGUUAACGCGUCUUCCUUACCUCCGUUUCCACAGUUUGCACUGUAACCCCUCCUCUCCCAAUUCGCUCCAACAGUGAAAAAAUGAAGUUUGUGGAUUGGUACGUAAAGAUCGGGGUAGUUUCAGCUCUCAUUGGAGCUUCAAUGGAGUUGUUUAUGAUCAAAACCGGCUUCUAUGACCAAGUGACCGUUCUGGAGGCAGAAAAGCGAACUUGGGAGAAUUCCCCUGAAGCUCAGGCAAUUAAAGAAGCUCUCAAUCCUUGGAGAAAUCACGACGCACAACCAAGAAAAAAUUCUUAACUUUAUUCUGUUGCAGUUUCCCCUCAGGUUUAUUUCUUUGAUGGUUUAACAACAUGUUAGGAUCUUUGUUGUGGAAAAUAAUGCAUUUGCUCACAACACUGGAACGAAAUAGUCCAUUUGAGUUUCAAUAGAAAUUUUGGAAUUGGUUUGGCUGUUGAACUUGAGUUGUUUUUGCGUGAAAUGUAUGUAAAUCUGGAUUCAUGAA